GAGUUUGAUCGUGGCUCAGAUUGAACGCUGGCGGCAUGCCUUACACAUGCAAGUCGAACGGCAGCACGGGAGCUUGCUCCUGGUGGCGAGUGGCGAACGGGUGAGUAAUGCAUCGGAACGUAUCCUGGAGUGGGGGAUAACGUAGCGAAAGUUACGCUAAUACCGCAUAUUCUGUGAACAGGAAAGCGGGGGACCUUCGGGCCUCGCGCUCUUGGAGCGGCCGAUGUCGGAUUAGCUAGUUGGUGAGGUAAAGGCUCACCAAGGCGACGAUCCGUAGCAGGUCUGAGAGGAUGAUCUGCCACACUGGAACUGAGACACGGUCCAGACUCCUACGGGAGGCAGCAGUGGGGAAUUUUGGACAAUGGGGGCAACCCUGAUCCAGCCAUGCCGCGUGAGUGAAGAAGGCCUCGG
rnacentral:rRNA from 1 species